UAAGCGACUAAGCGUACACGGUGGAUGCCUAGGCAGUCAGAGGCGAUGAAGGGCGUGCUAAUCUGCGAAAAGCGUCGGUAAGCUGAUAUGAAGCGUUAUAACCGACGAUACCCGAAUGGGGAAACCCAGUGCAAUACGUUGCACUAUCGUUAGAUGAAUACAUAGUCUAACGAGGCGAACCGGGGGAACUGAAACAUCUAAGUACCCCGAGGAAAAGAAAUCAACCGAGAUUCCCCCAGUAGCGGCGAGCGAACGGGGAGGAGCCCAGAGUCUGAAUCAGUUUGUGUGUUAGUGGAAGCGUCUGGAAAGUCGCACGGUACAGGGUGAUAGUCCCGUACACCAAAAUGCACAGGCUGUGAACUCGAUGAGUAGGGCGGGACACGUGACAUCCUGUCUGAAUAUGGGGGGACCAUCCUCCAAGGCUAAAUACUCCUGACUGACCGAUAGUGAACCAGUACCGUGAGGGAAAGGCGAAAAGAACCCCGGCGAGGGGAGUGAAAUAGAACCUGAAACCGUGUACGUACAAGCAGUGGGAGCACCUUCGUGGUGUGACUGCGUACCUUUUGUAUAAUGGGUCAGCGACUUAUAUUUUGUAGCAAGGUUAACCGAAUAGGGGAGCCGUAGGGAAACCGAGUCUUAACUGGGCGUCUAGUUGCAAGGUAUAGACCCGAAACCCGGUGAUCUAGCCAUGGGCAGGUUGAAGGUUGGGUAACACUAACUGGAGGACCGAACCGACUAAUGUUGAAAAAUUAGCGGAUGACUUGUGGCUGGGGGUGAAAGGCCAAUCAAACCGGGAGAUAGCUGGUUCUCCCCGAAAGCUAUUUAGGUAGCGCCUCGUGAACUCAUCUUCGGGGGUAGAGCACUGUUUCGGCUAGGGGGCCAUCCCGGCUUACCAAACCGAUGCAAACUCCGAAUACCGAAGAAUGUUAUCACGGGAGACACACGGCGGGUGCUAACGUCCGUCGUGAAGAGGGAAACAACCCAGACCGCCAGCUAAGGUCCCAAAGUCAUGGUUAAGUGGGAAACGAUGUGGGAAGGCACAGACAGCCAGGAUGUUGGCUUAGAAGCAGCCAUCAUUUAAAGAAAGCGUAAUAGCUCACUGGUCGAGUCGGCCUGCGCGGAAGAUGUAACGGGGCUAAACCAUGCACCGAAGCUGCGGCAGCGACACUUAGGUGUUGUUGGGUAGGGGAGCGUUCUGUAAGCCGUUGAAGGUGACCUGUGAGGGUUGCUGGAGGUAUCAGAAGUGCGAAUGCUGACAUAAGUAACGAUAAUGCGGGUGAAAACCCGCACGCCGGAAGACCAAGGGUUCCUGUCCAACGUUAAUCGGGGCAGGGUGAGUCGACCCCUAAGGCGAGGCUGAAAAGCGUAGUCGAUGGGAAACAGGUUAAUAUUCCUGUACUUGGUGUUACUGCGAAGGGGGACGGAGAAGGCUAGGCUGGCCGGGCGACGGUUGUCCCGGUUUAAGCGUGUAGGGGGAGUGACCAGGUAAAUCCGGUUGCUUAUCAACCCUGAGGCGUGAUGACGAUGCACCACGGUGCAGAAGCAGUUGAUGCCAUGCUUCCAGGAAAAGCCUCUAAGCAUCAGGUAACAUUAAAUCGUACCCCAAACCGACACAGGUGGUCAGGUAGAGAAUACUCAGGCGCUUGAGAGAACUCGGGUGAAGGAACUAGGCAAAAUGGUGCCGUAACUUCGGGGAGAAGGCACGCUGGCGUUAGGUGAAAGGACUAGCUCCUGGAGCUGAAGCCAGUCGCAGAUACCAGCUGGCUGCAACUGUUUAAUAAAAACACAGCACUGUGCAAACACGAAAGUGGACGUAUACGGUGUGACGCCUGCCCGGUGCUGGAAGGUUAAUUGAUGGGGUCAGCCGCAAGGGGAAGCUCUUGAUCGAAGCCCCAGUAAACGGCGGCCGUAACUAUAACGGUCCUAAGGUAGCGAAAUUCCUUGUCGGGUAAGUUCCGACCUGCACGAAUGGCGUAAUGAUGGCCAGGCUGUCUCCACCCGAGACUCAGUGAAAUUGAACUCGCUGUGAAGAUGCAGUGUACCCGCGGCAAGACGGAAAGACCCCGUGAACCUUUACUAUAGCUUGACACUGAACAUUGAGCCUUGAUGUGUAGGAUAGGUGGGAGGCCUUGAAGUGUGGACGCCAGUCUGCAUGGAGCCAACCUUGAAAUACCACCCUUUAAUGUUUGAUGUUCUAACUCGGCCCCAUGAUCUGGGGUGAGGACAGUGUCUGGUGGGUAGUUUGACUGGGCGGUCUCCUCCCAAAGAGUAACGGAGGAGCACGAAGGUUAGCUAAUCACGGUCGGACAUCGUGAGGUUAGUGCAAAGGCAUAAGCUAGCUUGACUGCGAGAGUGACGGCUCGAGCAGGUACGAAAGUAGGUCUUAGUGAUCCGGUGGUUCUGAAUGGAAGGGCCAUCGCUCAACGGAUAAAAGGUACUCCGGGGAUAACAGGCUGAUACCGCCCAAGAGUUCAUAUCGACGGCGGUGUUUGGCACCUCGAUGUCGGCUCAUCACAUCCUGGGGCUGAAGUAGGUCCCAAGGGUAUGGCUGUUCGCCAUUUAAAGUGGUACGCGAGCUGGGUUUAGAACGUCGUGAGACAGUUCGGUCCCUAUCUGCCGUGGGCGUUGGAAGAUUGAGAGGGGCUGCUCCUAGUACGAGAGGACCGGAGUGGACGAAUCACUGGUGUUCGGGUUGUCAUGCCAAUGGCAUUGCCCGGUAGCUAAAUUCGGAAGAGAUAACCGCUGAAAGCAUCUAAGCGGGAAACUUGCCUCGAGAUGAGUCUUCCCUGGGGCUUAAAGCCCCCUGAAGGAACGUUAAAGACUAUGACGUUGAUAGGCUGGGUGUGUAAGUGCAGCGAUGUAUUGAGCUAACCAGUACUAAUGAUCCGUGAGGCUUAACCU
rnacentral:rRNA from 1 species